rnacentral:misc_RNA from 1 species
AAUCUUAACUCUACUUUGUCAAACAUAUCAUCAACUAUUAAAGGCAUUCCACUGUAAUAAGCAUCACGUGCCUGUCGGUAGAGGGCUUCUAAGGUUUCUUUGCUAGCUGUUUCAAUAGGUCCGACGAAAAUACAGGAAGGUCCUAGAGGUGCCUCUCGCUCUUCACAAGUGGAUACGCCAUGGCUCCGGGCGGAUAUCCGUACCGGAAACGAAGCUCCGGCGCGAGAGUUGCUUCUGGUCAGCUCAAUUACAGUGGAACCGAGCACGCGGCGAGCGAUGGGAGACCACGCGCCGUCCAUGAACCGGAAGGAGAUUGUGGUUACGUGAUACAGCAGAGAAAUUUUGAAGAAAGGAGAGGUCAGG